rnacentral:rRNA from 1 species
UACGUAGGGUGCGAGCGUUGUCCGGAAUUACUGGGCGUAAAGAGCGUGUAGGCGGCUUUACAGGUCCGUUGUGAAAACUCGAGGCUCAACCUCGAGACGCCGGUGGAAACCGUAAAGCUAGAGUCCGGAAGAGGAGAGUGGAAUUCCUGGUGUAGCGGUGAAAUGCGCAGAUAUCAGGAGGAACACCGGUGGCGAAGGCGGGUCUCUGGGCCGAUACUGACGCUGAGGAGCGAAAGCGUGGGGAGCGAACAGG